UUGUAGUAUAGUGCUUGCAAAGUUGCACUCAUAUUUUAUUAUUAGUAAAAAAAAAAUGUUUCACUGCACACCCUUCUUCUCCUUCAUCCUUCCAGAACAUCAACUGAGACUUCAAGGCUGGAGCUUUCAUGGCAAAUGUUCAAUGUCUUCAAGUUUUAUAUCUAGAUCUAUAACAUUGUGUUUGGAUUAAGGGAUUUGGAAGGAAAGAAAGGAGGAGACUUGGAGAGAUGUGUUUUCCUUUGUUUCAAUAGCAAUUUUGAGGGGGGGAUUUAGAUUUGGAAGGAAGGGAUUUGAGGGGAUUAAAAGGGGUUUAGUUAAUAGUUAAUCUUUUCAAUUUUGAAAAGAUUUGAAAGGAAAAGGAUCUAUUGACUAUCAAAAUGAUAAAAAUGACUUACUUUUAGCAUUUCUUUCUAAUUUAGAUGAAACUAUGUAAUUUUUAGGUACAAAAUGAUGAAAAUGAUGAAAAUGAUUUUUAGGUACAAAAAUUUCGUCUUUUCCAUGUUUUUUCUCUUCUUGCCAUUUCCCUCCUAAACAAACUCCUUUCAUUUCCCUUCCUUUCCUUUCUUCUCCCUCCCUUUUCCUUCCUUCCCUUUCCUUUCCAUCCUAAUGCUCUAUUUAAACACAAGUGCUUUGUAAGGCUUUUUAAAAUUUUCUAUUAUGUUUUACCUGUUUAAAUGAUGGAAUUUUGAGAACUCGCCGAUAAUCUCAGUGGUUCAGUGCCCUAUAACGUUUGAUGAGGCCGAUUUCUAAUAUAACUCAUUUUUAAAAUCUCAUUCCAAAACGCGAGAAAUCGGAAUGGUGAACAUAAAUACCAAUACAGAAAGGUCGUUCAAGAUGACUCGACCGUAUUUUGACUCCCUAGUUCCAAGACCCUUAAGCCAGGCAAAGAUCUCAAUUCAAAACGAAUAUCCUCACUCUCGGACAAUCUUGCAAGCACAAAAGAUUUAUUUCACAAACAUGUGAACACAAGAAAAGUAUACAUUGUUAGACCUUUUUAGUUGUUUCAAUUUCUAGGAGAAACAGAAUUAGAUAUUCAAUAGCAACCUUUGAUUCCACCUAGUUGGCUCAUAGAACACAAUGACAAUGUAUUCAGAUUUUAGAGCCCAAUGUGAUUUGGUGAGAACAUAAGGUUGACUAUAGAGCCAAACUAUAAGAUAUAUAUUGAUUAAACGAAAUUAUGUGCCAACAAUAAGUGCCAUCAUGACCAUAGUUUCUAGUUUCAUUAAGCUGAAUAAAUAGAGGCACUGAUUUAAAACCCCUAUGAUGCACAGCUCCUUAGCACUAUCUUUUGCAUGAAAAAUGUGAUUUCAAGUUGAGUCUCUUAAAUGCUAUUUAAAUUCACCAUUAAAGUGGCACUUUAAUGCCAUAUUACAUUCAUGUUACGUAUGAGUUUGGCUCUAUAUAAAGAGAAGAUUGGGCAUUUUGUAAAGUGUACUAAAAAAUAAACACAUAUUACAUAUUAUUCUCUUCUCUCUUAUUCUCCCUUUGGAAAUUGAGCAAUACUUUAUAUAUUUUGGUGUUUUCUACCUAGUAAUACUGUGCAAACUACUAGUAUUAUAGACAGAAGGUUGUUUUAUCCUGGUGACAUACGAUUAGCACGAUCUACUAGCACAAAUCUAGGGCAGUACCGCAAAUGUUCUAAACAGAGCGACAGUCUGCGACUCAGCUAAAUUUCGAUAACAUUGUUCUUGUUAUUUUGCAGUUAUAUUUACAACAAUUUGUGUUUAAUGAUAAGUUUGUAUUGUAAAAGUUGACAACAACAUUAGACAGUUAGUGGAGAUUAGAUGUGGCAAGAGUUUACUUAGUUUGGUUUCGAAGUACUUCAAUUGAAAAUGACCCUAAACAUGCCCAGUAUCCAAUUGAUUUAAAUCUAAGCCACUCCAGAUCUGGAAUGAAAUUAGUCCAAUUUCUUUAAAUAAAAAAACAAAGAUAAAUCAAUCUCAAAAACCUAAUGAGUUUGAGGUAACCUCCCUAAUGGCUCAAACACUCACCUUUCUCCCUCUCUGCCUAGUGCUCUAUUUCUCUCAUGUUCAUUUUCUUCAACAUUCUAUUUCUCUCAUGACUUACCUCUCAUUAGUCAUUGAUAAGUCCCAUUUUACACGUGUCAUGACAUGAUUAAGUAUUGUAUUCAAAAAGUUUCCAUGCCUUUUCCCCUUGUUUCUAUUGGAUUUACAUCCCUUGGUAGGGUAGCAUGUUUAUUGCAUUUUUAUAAGUUGUUGACCAAUUCUAGAGCACUGAAGCAUGAUAGGGAAAUGCCCCUAAUCCUCCGAAGGAAGCAUGAAGCAAAAAGCCGAGCAAAAAGAAGAAGAUAGGCUGCAAAUUCAGCAAGCACAUAUGAACAUGCGCUACUCGUUCCCCUCCCUGAUCUACUCAACGUUCACCAAAGGAACUAAAACGUACCAUUCGUUGACCUUAUACUACAUUAGCAUAUUGCAGCAAUCAGCAUAGUGGGAUGAAAGUGUGCAAUUUAUUCACCUUUGAAAGUUAAAUGUAUCGCACGUUCAAUUAUCAAAAAGGGUUAUUUCGGUACUUUUAUGGGAGAUUUUUUGAUUUGGGGGCCUUCUUGCUGACUUAAAGCUUAUUUCGCAUUUAUGGGCCUAGGGUUUUGUGUUUAUGAAGAUUAUAAAUAAUGAGCUUUGUAACGACAAAAGAUCUCUCAGGCCUUAAUUUUCAUCAACUUUUCAGAUUUGAACUUUUUCCCACUACAUCUAUCAAGAACCCUGGUUUUUAUUGCUUGAGGUCCUUGUUCCAAAUACUUAAUCAUUAAAAAAAAGUCAAGUUUUUAUUGUUUACCAGAAUUAUCAUUAUUAUUUAUUGCAACUUUUGGUGUCAAUCUUCAUCUUCAACCUCUAUUGUUAAAGGUUGACAAUUAGCAAAAUUUCUAGCUUUUAAUCUUUUGUUCUCCGAUCGUUCCCAUCUUUUAUAUGUAUAAACUAUAAUCUACUGCUUCUUAAUAGUUUACAUGUUUGUAUUGUUGAUUAUCUUUGUUAUUGAUACUUGCCUUUUUUGUGAUUAUUGCUUUUACUAGCCCUUUGGAACUUGUUUGUUUCAGUUAAUGAUGAUGAUGAAUUAUGAUUUGAAUAUGCAUUGUGACUUGUGAGUAGUUGUUAAGGUUGGGGUUGACCCAAACCCAUUGUGAAGGUUUGAGAAUGAUCCACCCUUAUGUUGAUUUUGGGUUGUUGUCAAGAGUAUGGAAGGUGGCUUUCCUCUUCCAUUGAUUAGGUGGAUUUCCAUGGUUCAUUCCAGAACCUCAAAAGUGAACCCCAGUGAUUUGAUCCUCGGCUCAAUAGAAGAUUAGGGAACAAUGGAUCAACGAGGAUUGAACCUUGUAACCACCCAUUUCUCCAUUGAUCUUACGCUAUGAUCAUGAGGGUGACAUAGUAUUGGUAGUAGGUGAUUGUGUGUUGCCCAAGAUGGUCAUCUAUGCUCACAAGAGUGACGUGGAUGAUAUCAUUGUAGAUACUCCUGUCCCUAUCCUAGAAGGGGUUACUUAAUGAUUGCAAUUGCCUACCUUUGAGCAACUCAGGGAAAACCUAGGAGCAAUCAUUCCAAAUCUUAACAAUGGUCACUUAGUAGGGACCAAUGGCAAUAUGGCCUCUUAAUCAUAAAAAUCAAGGCGGUAGCAAGAAGGUUGAGUUCAAGACAAAGGAGGUUAAGGAGAAGGUUAAGUGGUAACGAAGCAAUGGCUAACAAUUGAUCCAUUUCAAAGAUGUUUAUGUCAAAUGUCAACUCUAUUUGGCCAAGCAUAACUAGGCCUACCAGGCUACAACCAUGGAGACAAACUUUGAGAUCAAGUCGUUCUUUAUCCAAUUCAUGGCUUGGUUCCAAUUUAGAGGUAUGGAAUCAAAAAAUCCAAAUGAUCACCUCGAUGAGUUUAUAGGAAAGUGUGCAUUGGUGAAAUAAUUGGGUAUCUCUAGUGAACAUUUCUACUCUUAUAAUGGUGAAGCCAAGGAUUGGCUAAAUGCUGAAGGUCACGAUAAAUUCACUACUUGGAUGAUCCCUCAAAGGCACUCCGAGCCCGACUCUUCUCUCCCAGAAAAAAAAUGCAAGAUUGAGAAAUGAUAUCACCAAGUUCACAUGAGUUGGGUAAGUCAUAAUAUGAAAUUUGGGAGAAUUAUAAGGGUCUUCAUAAGAAGUGUGCUCAUCAUGGAAUCCCAGAAAGGUUGGUGGUGCAAAAUUUUUACAAUGUGUUGAAAGAAGAGAUACAAAUGUCAGUCAGUGUUGCGGCGGGUAGAGCUUUCUUGAGUUAGCAAAACAACUCAAUGAGCAAAUCGCCUCCAACAAUUUGUGGAAGGACAUGAGGCUUCCUAUAAGAAAUUAUGGUGCAAGUGCAAUCGAGAAGAAUGAAAGUGAUGAAAUGAGGGUAAUGCAAAAUACUAUCACUUGACUAAAAGGGUGAAUCAACUUCCCAAUGGGCAAUGGGAGCUCCAGUAAUGGCAUGUUAAGUUUGUAGUAUUCAAGGGCAUGUCCCCUGCGAGUGCACAAAUCAUAUGGAGCAAAGGUGAGUCUAUUAGUAUGGGUAUGGUUGGUAACUAUGUUACUCGGACCCUCCAUUUUCAACGGCUCACCGGUGUCCGGUACUGAUACCGGUGCCAGACACGUUCCCAGUACGUCGGAUUGCACAUGGGUACUUCAUGUUGUCAUUCUUCCGCUAUUGAAGCUUCAAUUUUUCUUCGGUUUUUCUUCUAUUUUAGAGAUGGGGAAGAAGAAUAAGAGAAAAGUGUUAAAGGAAGAUGAAGGGUGACUGUGUUAGUAUAAAACGGAAUUAUAAAACAACAUAAGAUAUUCUAUGUAUAGGAAAGAAUAAGAGAACUUGUACAUGGAAUAAAGUAACAGCUCAAGUCAUGCUUUCUUAUUUUACAAGCUUCUCAGACAAGGAUAUUUUACUUGUUUUAUAUUAUUACUUUUUCACUCUUUCUUA